GUACUCAAGAUUUAGGGAUUUUUUUGAAAAAAUAUCUUCUUCCCUUUCUCCUCAAUAUCUUGGUGGAGAUGAUGGGUGACGAUAGUGGCACACUGAAGAGGGUAGAGGAGAAGGAGGAAGAGGAGGCCAGUAUCAAGAUCACAAGCAAGAUUCGAGGAGGAAGAAAAAGAUGACAACGUCGAGGUCACAAGUGAGAUUCGAAUAAGGGGGAAGAGAGUAGGUUGGAGUCGCAAGUAAGAUUGGAGGAGA
rnacentral:lncRNA from 1 species